rnacentral:lncRNA from 1 species
UUUGUUUAUAAUCUAAAACAAUAUUUUAGUGAAAAAGGUCAAUCACUUUUUAUAGUGAUUAACGAUUAGACGUAGCAUUUGUUGAUUCAAACCAGGAUAAAAUCUUUUCUGUGAUUUUCUUUGACUCUAUAACUCUUGCGUUUGAACUAUUUGACGAAAGUCCUAAAAGAAAAUCAUAAUUCUUAAAAGAACCAAUUAACCCCUCCUCUCUUGGCUAUUGACUACUUACAC